rnacentral:rRNA from 1 species
GACGAACGCUAGCGGCGUGCUUAACACAUGCAAGUCGAACGGAAAGGCCCUGCUUUUGUGGGGUGCUCGUGUGGCGAACGGGUGAGUAACACGUGAGUAACCUGCCCUUGACUUUGGGAUAACUUCAGGAAACUGGGGCUAAUACCGGAUAGGAGCUCCUGCUGCAUGGUGGGGGUUGGAAAGUUUCGGCGGUUGGGGAUGGACUCGCGGCUUAUCAGCUUGUUGGUGGGGUAGUGGCUUACCAAGGCUUUGACGGGUAGCCGGCCUGAGAGGGUGACCGGCCACAUUGGGACUGAGAUACGGCCCAGACUCCUACGGGAGGCAGCAGUGGGGAAUAUUGCACAAUGGGCGGAAGCCUGAUGCAGCAACGCCGCGUGCGGGAUGACGGCCUUCGGGUUGUAAACCGCUUUCGCCUGUGACGAAGCGUGAGUGACGGUAAUGGGUAAAGAAGCACCGGCUAACUACGUG